UCAGAAACCCAGGGACGAACUCUCAUUCUUUCAAAACCCUAACUCCUCUAAAUUCACUCAAAAUCCAAGAAAUAAAACCCAAUUGAAGGUGAAUCAAGGCUGAAUUUGUGAUCCUCAUACUUAGUAGGUCACAAGUCUUGUGAUAUUGGAUGUUGAUUGAUGGUGAUUUGGGUGGAUCAUCAAGUGGACAAGGCGGGUCGGAUAACCGCUUAAAAGGAAAGCUUUGA
rnacentral:lncRNA from 1 species